UACGAAGGGGGCUAGCGUUGCUCGGAAUCACUGGGCGUAAAGCGCACGUAGGCGGAUCUUUAAGUCAGGGGUGAAAUCCUGGAGCUCAACUCCAGAACUGCCUUUGAUACUGGGGAUCUCGAGUCCGGAAGAGGUGAGUGGAACUCCGAGUGUAGAGGUGAAAUUCGUAGAUAUUCGGAAGAACACCAGUUGCGAAGGCGGCUCACUGGUCCGGUACUGACGCUGAGGUGCGAAAGCGUGGGGAGCAAACAGG
rnacentral:rRNA from 1 species